rnacentral:rRNA from 1 species
UACGUAGGGACCAAGCGUUGUCCGGAAUCAUUGGGCGUAAAGAGCGUGUAGGCGGCUUGUUAAGUCUUGCGUGAAAUCUCGGGGCUCAACCCCGAGCGGUCGUGAGAAACUGGCAGGCUAGAGUGCGGGAGAGGAGAGUGGAAUUCCUGGUGUAGCGGUGAAAUGCGCAGAUAUCAGGAAGAACACCCGUGGCGAAGGCGGCUCUCUGGGCAGUAACUGACGCUGAGGAGCGAAAGCGUGGGGAGCGAACAGG